UACGGAGGAUGCGAGCGCUAUCCGGAUUUAUUGGGUUUAAAGGGUGCGUAGGCGGGCUUUUAAGUCAGCGGUAAAAAUUCGGGGCUCAACCCCGUCCGGCCGUUGAAACUGGGGGCCUUGAGUGGGCGAGAAGAAGGCGGAAUGCGUGGUGUAGCGGUGAAAUGCAUAGAUAUCACGCAGAACCCCGAUUGCGAAGGCAGCCUUCCGGCGCCCUACUGACGCUGAGGCACGAAAGUGCGGGGAUCGAACAGG
rnacentral:rRNA from 1 species